ensembl:lncRNA
AAUGGGUUCUCUAUGGGGUCCCCUAUGGGGUCCCCAAAUUUGUUGUCCUAUGGGUUCUCUGUUGUCUCUACGGGACUCUAUGGGUCCCUAUGGGUCCCUAUGGGUCUCUAUGGGUCCCUAUGGGUCCCUAUGGGUCCCUAUGGGUCUCUAUGGGUCUCUAUGGGUCUCUAUGGGCCCCUACGGGUCUCUAUGGGUCCCUAUGGGUCUCUAUGGGUCUCUAUGUGUCCCUAUGGGUCUCUAUGGGUCUCUAUGGGUCCCUAUGGGUCCCUAUGGGUCUCUAAGGGUCCCUAUGGGUCUCUAUGUGUCUCUAUGGGUCCAUAUAGGUCCCUAAGUGUCCCUAUGGGUCUCUAUGGGUCUCUAUGUGUCUCUACGGGUCUCUAUGGGUCUCUAUGGGUCCCUAUGUAUCCCUAUGGGGUCUCUAUGGGUUAUAUGGGGGUGGGCAUCAAUAAGGGUGGCUAAUAGGGGGGUAAUAUGGGGGGGGCAUCAAUAAGGGGGUGCCCAAUAAUGGUCUCUAUGGGUCUCAGUGUAUCGCUAUGGGUCCCUAUGGGUCGCUAUGUGUCUCUAUGGGUCUCUAUGGGUCUCUAUGGGUCACUACGGGUCACUAUGGAGCAGCUAUGGGGCUCUAUAGGUCUCUAUGGGGCAGUUAUAGGUCAUUAUGGGUCUCUAUGUGUCCCUACGUGUCCCUAUGGGUCGCUAUGGGUCCCUAUGUGUUUCUAUGGGUCUCUAUGUGUCUGUAUGGGUCCCUAUGGGUCCCUAUGGGUCUCUAUGAGUCUCUAUGGGUCUCUAUGUGUCUGUAUGGGUCCCUAUGGGUCCCUAUGGGUCUCUAUGGGUCCCUAUGGGUCUCUAUUGGUCCCUAUGGGUCUCUAUUGGUCCUUAUGUGUCUCUGUGGGUCUCUAUGGGUCCCUAUGGGUCUGUAUGGGUCUCUAUGGGUCUCUAUGGGGUCCCUAUGGGCCUCUAUGGGUCUCUAUGUGUCCCUAUGGGUCACUAUGGGUCCAUAUGGAUCUCUAUGGGUCUCUAUGGGUCUCUAUGUGUCCCUAUGGGUCCCUAUGGGUCCCUAUGGGUCUCUAUGUGUCCCUAUGGGUCCCUAUGGGUCACUAUGGUUCCGUAUGGGUCUCUAUGGGUCCCUAUGGGUCUCUAUGGGUCUCUAUGUGUCCCUAUGGGUCGCUAUGGGUCUCUAUGGGUUAUAUGGGGGGGGCAUCAAUAUGGGGGUAAUAGGGGGUAUAUGGGGGGGGCAUCAAUAUGGGGGGUCAUUAAUAUGGGGGUAAUAGGGGGUUAUAUGGAGGGGGGCAUCAAAUAUGGGGGGGGUCAUAAUAUGGGGGGUAAUUUAGGGGGUUAUAUGGGGGGGGGCAUCAAUAUUGGGGGUAAUAGGGGGUUAUGUGGGGGGGGGGGGCAUCAAUAAUUGGGGGGGCAAUCAAUAUGGGGGUGACCAAUAAUGGUCUCUAUGGUCUCCAGUGUAUCGUUAUGGGUCCCUAUGGGUCUCUAUGGGUCCCUAUAGGUCCCUAAUGGGUCUCUAUGGGUCUCAGUGUAUCACUAUGGGUCCCUAUGGGUCUCUAUGGGUCUCUAUGGGUCCCUAUGGGUCUCUAUGUGUCUCUAUGGGUCCUAUGGGUCUCUAUGGGUCUCUAUGGUCUCAUAUGGGUCUCUAUGGGGUCUCUAUGGGUCCCCAUGGGGCUCUAUGGGUCUCUAUGGGUCUCUAUUGGUCCCUAUGGGUCUCUAUGGGUCCCUAUGGUUCCCUAUGGGUCUCUAUGGGGUCCCGAUAUUUCUCUAUGUGUCCCUAUGGGUCUCUAUGGGUCUCUAUUGGUCCCUAUGGGUCUCUAUGGGUCUCUAUGGGUCCCUAUGGGUCUCUAUGGGGUCUCUAUGGGUCCCUAUGGGUCUCUAUGGGUCCUCUAUGGGUCCCUAAGGGUCUCUAUGGGUCUCUAUGGGUCUCUAAUGGUCCCUAUGGGUCUAUAAUGGUUCCUAAUGGUCCCUAUGGGUCUCUAUGGGGUCCCCGAUAUUUCUCUAUGUGUCCCUAUGGGUCUCUAUGGGUCUCUAUUGGUCCCUAUGGGUCUCUAUGGAUCUCUAUGGGUCUCUAUGGGUCUCUAUGGGUCCCUAUGGGCCUCUAUGGGUUAUAUGGGGGGGGGCAUUACUAAGGGGGGGUAAUAAGGGGGGGGUAAUUAAUAAGGGGGGGUAAUUAAUAAGGGGGGUAAUUAAUAAGGGGGGGGUAUUAAUAAGGGGUUAAUUAAUAAGGGGGGGGUAAAUUAAUAGGGGGGGUAAUUAAUAAGGGGGGUAAUUAAUAAGGGGGGGUAAUUAAUUAAGGGGGGUAAUUAAUAAGGGAGUACUAAGGGGGGUAAUUAAUAGGGGGGGUAAUUAAUAAGGGGGUAAAUAAGGGGGGAAAUUAAAUAAGGGGGGUAAUUAAUAAGGGGGGUAAUUAAAUAAGGGGGGUAAUUAAUAAUGGGGUUAAUUAAUAAGGGGGGUAAUAAAGGGGGGGUAAUUAAUAAGGGGGUAAUAAGG